AAGCACAAAGGGGACCCGAAGGUCCCCUUUAAUUUGUCGUUGCGUGCUCUUUUUUUAUUAUUGAGGGGCGGUCUAUUGUUGUUUUUGGCAACCGUUACCCUUUACCGCUGUUUUUGGCGACCCCCAUCCGGGGUCAAGAGCAAACGUAUUUUUUUGAGCGCUGACCUGCUUCUUCGUUAACGAUCCAACCAGUGGGUAGCUACCUGAGGUAGUU
rnacentral:ncRNA from 2 species